GACGAACGCUGGCGGCGUGCUUAACACAUGCAAGUCGAACGAGAAGAGAUGAGAAGCUUGCUUCUUAUUGAUUCGAGUGGCAAACGGGUGAGUAACGCGUAAGCAACCUGCCCUUCAGAUGGGGACAACAGCUGGAAACGGCUGCUAAUACCGAAUACGUUCUUUUGUCGCAUGGCAGAGGGAAGAAAGGGAGGCUCUUCGGAGCUUUCGCUGAAGGAGGGCUUGCGUCUGAUUAGCUAGUUGGAGGGGUAACGGCCCGACCAAGGCGACGAUCAGUAGCCGGCCUGAGAGGGUGAACGGCCACAUUGGAACUGAGACACGGUCCAGACUCCUACGGAGGCAGCAGUGGGAAUCUUCCGCAAUGGCGAAAGCCUGACGGAGCAACGCCGCGUGAGUGAAGAAGGUCUUCGGAUCGUAAAGCUCUGUUGUCGGGGACGAAUGUUGAGACCUAGGAACAUAGGUUUCAAAUGACGGUACCUGACGAGGAAGCCACGGCUAACUACG
rnacentral:rRNA from 1 species